UUUUAUUACAGCUGUACCAGGUGGCUUCAGCCAAGAUCAGAGUCCCAUUGUGCUUGGUACCAUAUUGUAAGAGAGAUCUCCUGCUCCCCAAAUUGAUUUUUGGACUAAAUAGGCAAGAGGUGAAGGUGGAAAAGAAGCGCACAGAGCUGAAGUGUCCGUCCAAGAUCACAUGGCAGUAAGAUUCCUGGAAUCCCUCCCAAGAUUGAUGGCAAAACAGCUGCAGAUCUGAGUUUUAAGAAAUCACACAGUCGGUUCUUAUCUGAAACAGUUCACCCUCAUUCUGGAAGGGAGAAGUGAAUCUGAACAGAGGUACCAGGCACUUUGAGACAGGUUCUACAUUCAGGACAUGAGAAUGAAUCAGACAUACAGUCUACCUACCUCCCACUUUAGAAGAAGGUUGAGAAAACCAUACAUACCAGUCUCCUGUGUAUCUGAAUAGCACACACGAAGCAGGGAAGACAGAUAGAGCAUAUGGAGUGAAAGGAAGUCAUCUCCUGAGUCGUCAAAAAUAACACCACACUGGAGCCUUCAGAAUGUCCUGCUUUUCUAAUUCUUUGAGAAUUCUGCUUUCUGUAGAUAAUAAAAUU